rnacentral:rRNA from 1 species
AUUGAACGCUGGCGGCAGGCUUAACACAUGCAAGUCGAACGAGUGGCGGAGGGGUGAGUAAUGCUUGGGAAUCUAGCUUAUGGAGGGGGAUAACUAAGGGAAACUGUAGCUAAAACCGCGUACCAUAGGAUGGGCCGAAGCGGGAUUAGGUAGUUGGUGAGGGAAAGGCUCACCAAGCCGACGAUCUCUAGCUGGUCUGAGAGGAGGACCAGCCACACUGGGACUGAGACACGGCCCAGACUCCUACGGGAGGCUGCAGUGGGGAAUAUUGCGCAAUGGGGGCAACCUGACGCAGCCAUGCCGCGUGAAUGAAGAAGGCCUUCGGGUUGUAAAGUUCUUUCGGUAGCGAGGCGUUAACUACAGAAGAAGCACCGGCUAACUCCGUGCCAGCAGCCGCGGUAAUUC